AGUUAUUAUUUACAUGAGAUUUAUUUUAUUCAAAGUUAAAGAAUAUUUCACAUGUAUUAGCAGUUUAAUUUUUCUCCUGGGGGAGGUAGAACUUUCAACCAUCCAGGAAGUAUGCCUUGGCUAAAAGAGCACUAUACCAUGAGUCAGGAAACCCAUAUGCCCUACUCAGGACCUGCUUGUUAUCCAUGUGACCUUGGAAAAUCACAAUAUUCCUGAGCUUCAGUUUCUUCUUUUAGAAAACAAGAAUAAUAGAUGUUGAAAUGCUUUGAUGUUAAGUAGCCUAGAAGUUCUACUUUCGAGGACUUUAUUGUAAAAGAGAAAAAUGCUUAAGUGGCAUAAUUUAGUUAAAAGGUAGAUUCUAAAUUACAAAAGGAUUAUCAGAUAAUUAUGAAAUGUUAUUGGACAUACACCACCCAGUAUAGCUAUCUUGAGUAAAAUAAUAAAAUCCAAAUUUAUAUGAGCUAAUUUGCGGAAAGAAAUUUAUUUAAUUAUGACUCAAGAUUUAAAACAUAUUAUUUAAUAGUCUUCCCAAAAAGCAAGCUAUGUAAAUAAUAUAUGGAGUAUAAUCUUGUUUAUUAUAAAAUGAAACAAAUCUUUAAAAUGACAUUUGAUUCAAAAUGCACUGAAAAAAAAGUCCAUGAGCUAUCUACCAAACUAUUUACAGUGGUUAAAAAUAAGAAAGUCAGUGGGUUCAAAAAGACGGUUAUAUAUGGCAAAGGUCAGAUGAUCAGAAGGAAAUAAAAGGAAAACAGAUAAGAGAUAAAGGCAGAUAAUGAACUUUUUGUUCCAUAUGAUUGUGUGUUGCUUGAAUUUUUAUAAGAGUUUUUUAAAUCCCAUUUAUAUAAAUAAGACAAAUUUUGAAUAACCAAAAUUCUGGAUGCAAGGAGACAGAGUAAGCAUCUGCAUUCCAUCAAAGACUGUUGAAAUAAUAUCAUAAACACACAGUAUGAAUAGCACUGAAACAAUGCAAAACAAGAGGCAUAGUCAUCAGCUCCACAGAUUUCUAUGAGAAAGAAAGCAGAUUCAAGUAAGUUGAUGGUAUAAUGUCCAGUCUCAGUCUUAGUAUAAAGGCAGGAGAAGAUGCAUGUUCCAACUUAAAGACAGUCAGGCAGAGAGAAAGAAUUUUUUCUUACUCAAUCUAUUAUUCUAUUCAGGCCUUCAGUGUACUGGAUGAGGCCCACCCACCUUGGAGAGGGCAAUCUUCUUUACUGAGUCUACAGAUUCAAAUGUUACUCUUAUGUGGAAACACCCUCACAGAUACACCCAGAAAUAAUGUUUAACCAAAUAUUUGGGCACUUUGUAUCCCAGUCAAGUUGACACAUAAAAUUAAUCAUCACAUUAAGGAAUGCCCAGGAAAAAACAAAGACAACAGGGGAAACAAAAACAAGGAUACCAGGGGAAAUUUUUUACUCUGACAUCACCCUCAAGCCAACAGUAAACAAAUCCUAACUCCUAGCCAAAUAAAUAUAAAACAUCUCACUCAAGGUCUCUAUUCCUCAAUUCUUUUAUCCAAUACAUCACGACUCACUUUCCACAAAAAAAUUAAAAAGGAUGCUAACAAGACAUAAAAAGAAAACAAAAAA
rnacentral:lncRNA from 1 species